CGGACCGGCGCACGGGUGCGUAACGCGUAUGCAACUACCAUCAACAGGGGGAUAACACUGAGAAAUUGGUACUAAUACCCCAUAAUAUCUCAUGCGGCAUCGCAUGGGGUUGAAAACUCCGGUGGUUGAUGAUGGGCAUGCGUUGUAUUAGCUGGUUGGUGAGGUAACGGCUCACCAAGGCGACGAUACAUAGGGGGACUGAGAGGUUAACCCCCCACAUUGGUACUGAGACACGGACCAAACUCCUACGGGAGGCAGCAG
rnacentral:rRNA from 1 species